AGUGGAUGUGGAUCUCAUUCGAGGAGUGUUGGGAAAACAUCCGCGCUUAAGGGGUUACAUGGACUUCAUGCUUGCCACUCCAUUUUGCAUGAAAACAGUAAAGAUGAUAAGCACUGGAUAAAGAUGUGCAUUCUUCCUAAGGACUAUCCUUUCACAGAUUACUUAAGUUCUGAUAUUUGGGAGUAUUGGUAUAUAAUUUGAAAAAAUACAUAUAACAAUAACAUUUAGAAAUGGCGAAAUCCCUUUGACGCAUUGUAACACUUCAAGUGGCCAGGAUGUUUUGCAGAAGCCCUAGCAAUUGGCGUUGUUAUACACACGCAUAUAUACACAAAAUAAAUAUGUAAACAUACGUA